GUCUACAGCCAUACCACCCUGAACCCACCCGAUCUCGUCUGAUCUCGGAAGCUAAGCAGGGUUGGGCCUGUUUGCUACUUGGAUGGGAGAAAAAUUGAGCAACAAAAAACU
rnacentral:rRNA from 1 species